rnacentral:rRNA from 1 species
AGAAUCAACGCUGGCGGCGUGCCUAACACAUGCAAGUCGCACGAGAAAGGGACUUCGGUCCUGAGUACAGUGGCGCACGGGUGAGUAACACGUGAAUCAUCUACCUCCGAGUGGGGAAUAACCUAGAGAAAUCUGGGCUAAUACCGCAUAACACUUACGAGUCAAAGCAGCAAUGCGCUUGGAGAGGAGUUCGCGGCAGAUUAGUUAGUUGGCGGGGUAAUGGCCCACCAAGACUAUGAUCGGUA